rnacentral:rRNA from 1 species
GUGGGGAAUCUUCCGCAAUGGACGAAAGUCUGACGGAGCAACGCCGCGUGAGUGAAGAAGGUUUUCGGAUCGUAAAGCUCUUUCGUUAGGGACGAACGUGCUCAUUGUGAAUAAUGAGGAGUAAUGACGGUACCUAAAUAAGAAGCCACGGCUAACUACGUGCCAGCAGCCGCGGUAAUACGUAGGUGGCAAGCGUUGUCCGGAAUUAUUGGGCGUAAAGCGCGCGCAGGCGGGAUAUCAAGUCUGUCUUAAAAGUGCGAGGCUCAACCUCGUGAGGGGACAGAAACUGGUAUUCUUGAGUGUCGGAGAGGAAAGUGGAAUUCCAAGUGUAGCGGUGAAAUGCGUAGAGAUUUGGAAGAACACCAGUGGCGAAGGCGACUUUCUGGACGAUGUCUGACGCUGAGGCGCGAAAGCUAGGGGAGCGAACGGGAUUAGAAACCCUUGUAGUCC